CAUACCAGGCUUCAGGACACCAGUCUCAACACGUCCCACUGGCACAGUUCCAAUACCUCCGAUCUUGUACACAUCCUGAAGUGGCAGACGGAGGGGCUUGUCUGAGGGCCUCUUGGGCUCGUUGAUUUGGUCAAGAGCCUCAAGGAGGGUUGGUCCCUUGUACCAGUCGAGGUUGGUAGACCUCUCAAUCAUGUUGUCACCCUCGAAUCCAGAGAUGGGCACGAAUGGGAUUUUGUCAGGGUUGUAUCCGACCUUCUUCAAGUAGGAUGAAACUUCCUUCACGAUUUCAUCAAACCUGGACUUGGAGUACUUGGGUGUGG
rnacentral:lncRNA from 1 species